rnacentral:lncRNA from 1 species
CUGAAUUUACGUUUGAAGUUUGAACACCUACAAAACGUAAAUUUCUUCAAACUCGAAAGCAGAUAGAGAAACAAUAUUAAACACCUUUGACAUUCAAACAACAUAUGCAGCUGUGGUGGUCCAUCUGGUUAUCCACAUAACAAUCAAACAUUGAGAAAUAAAAAGUAAAAAUAUUGCAAAUCAUAAACUGAAACUUGCAUUAUUUCUUACAAUUAUCAGAAGUGAUUUGACAAGUUCAAAUUACGUUCCUUAGGCACGUAAUUUUUGUAUCAUCAUCAUUCAUAUCACAUAACACUCUGGCGAGGAAUGCAAUGGCGGGCCGGUGAUUGAACUCUGGUUGAAACACUUCUUUUGGUUGCGGAAGGAGGUGAGGUAGAGGUGGAGAAACCAGAGUCUGAUCGGAAAAGUUGCACCUCCGAUGU